CGUAGUGUGAAUUGCAGAAUUCCGUGAACCAUCGAAUCUUUGAACGCAUAUUGCGCCCAAGACCUCGGUCGAGGGCAUGUCUGCCUCAGCGUCG
rnacentral:rRNA from 1 species